rnacentral:rRNA from 1 species
AGAGUUUGAUCCUGGCUCAGGAUGAACGCUAGCGAUAGGCCUAACACAUGCAAGUCGAGGGGCAGCAUAGAGUAGCAAUACUUUGAUGGCGACCGGCGCACGGGUGAGUAACACGUAUGCAACCUACCUACAUCAGGGGAAUAACCCGGAGAAAUUCGGACUAAUACCGCAUAAUACAGGGAUGCCGCAUGGCAAUAUUUGUUAAAGAUUUAUCGGAUGUAGAUGGGCAUGCGUUCCAUUAGCUUGUUGGUGAGGUAACGGCUCACCAAGGCAACGAUGGAUAGGGGAACUGAGAGGUUUGUCCCCCACACUGGAACUGAGACACGGACCAGACUCCUACGGGAGGCAGCAGUGAGGAAUAUUGGUCAAUGGACGAGAGUCUGAACCAGCCAAAUCGCGUGAAGGAAGACUGCCCUACGGGUUGUAAACUUCUUUUGUACAGGAAUAAAAGACAUUACGUGUAAUGUAUUGCAUGUACUGUACGAAUAAGCAUCGGCUAACUCCGUGCCAGCAGCCGCGGUAAUACGGAGGAUGCGAGCGUUAUCCGGAUUUAUUGGGUUUAAAGGGUGCGCAGGCGGGAUUUUAAGUCAGCGGUGAAAUUUUCAGGCUCAACCUGAACACUGCCGUUGAAACUGGGAUUCUUGAGUAUGGAUGAAGUAGGCGGAAUUCGUUGUGUAGCGGUGACAUGCUUAGAUAUAACGAGGAACUCCGAUUGCGUAGGCAGCUUACUAAGCCAUAACUGACGCUCAAGCACGAAAGCGUGGGGAUCAAACAGGAUUAGAUACCCUGGUAGUCG